rnacentral:rRNA from 1 species
GACGAACGCUGGCGGCGUGCCUAAUACAUGCAAGUCGAACGCAGUGGGGACGGGUGAGUAACACGUGGGUAACCUCCCAUCAGAGGGGAUACCACUUUGACACAGGUGCUAAACCGAUACUGAUUGAUGGCUCCGCGGUGCAUUAGCGAGUUGGUGGGGUAACGGCUCACCAAGGCCACGAUGCGUAGCGGACCUGAGAGGGGGAGCGGCCACACUGGGACUGAGACACGGCACAGACUCCUACGGGAGGCAGCAGGAGGGAAUCUUCGGCAAUGGACGAAAGUCUGACCGAGCAAUGCCGCGUGAGUGAAGAAGGUUUUCGGAUCGUAAAACUCUGUUGUUAGAGAAGCGGUAUCUAACCAGAAAGCCACGGCUAACUACGUGCCAGCAGCCGCAGUAAUAC